rnacentral:rRNA from 1 species
AUUGAACGCUGGCGGCAUGCCUUACACAUGCAAGUCGAACGGCAGCACGGGUGCUUGCACCUGGUGGCGAGUGGCGAACGGGUGAGUAAUACAUCGGAACAUGUCCUGUAGUGGGGGAUAGCCCGGCGAAAGCCGGAUUAAUACCGCAUACGAUCUACGGAUGAAAGCGGGGGGCCUUCGGGCCUCGCGCUAUAGGGUUGGCCGGGGGCUGAUUAGCUAGUUGGGGGGGUAAAGGCCUACCAAGGCGACGAUCAGUAGCUGGCCUGAGAGGAGGACCAGCCACACUGGGACUGAGAGAGGGAGCAGAGGGCAAUGUGAGGCAGCGGGGGAGAAUAUGGCACAAUGGGCGGAAGCGUGAGGAAGCGACGCCGGGUUUGGAAUGACGGUCUUCGGGGAAAAAACCCCUUGUCGCAGGGACGGAGGGGGAGUGACGGUACCGGAAGAAAAAGCACCGGCUAACUACGUG